GGGUAUAAAUAAAUUUUUGGUUCCAGCCUGUUCCGAGCCAACCCUCGGAACAGACAGGACAAAACCUUCGUCUUUUGCCCCCAACGACCACGACCCCAACCCCGAGCCCUCGACGCCAUCUCCUUCUCCUCCACCUCUGCCCCCAUCUCCCCUGCCUUUCUCCUCUUCUCCGCCCCCAAGCUGCCUUUCUCCUCCAUCUCCACCCUCGUCUCCGCCCCCGAGCUGCCCCUAGCCCUUCCUGUUUCUCUCCUUCUCCUCGGUCGCCUGAGCUGCCCCUAGCCCUUCCUGUUUCUCUCCUUCUCCUCUGUCUCUGCUGGAGGGCGACCACCGCAGCAUUGCUUGCAGCUUCUCAGCGGGCGUCAUCGAGCAGAUCCUCAGCAGGGCGUCUUCCAGCGGGUCCCCUAGGCAGCGGCGUUCAGCAAGGCAGGGUGACCAUUGCAUUCCAGAAGGUGAGGAAAAAGUUUGUGGCUAAACAAAGGCGCGGGCAGGUAUGGUUGAAGGAGGCUCGCCACAAGUGAGAUAGUUUAUGCACAUUGCGGUUUGCGGCAGAUUUCCGAUGCUGGAUCGCAUCAUUCUUUUUUGUGUGGAAGGGAGGAAGAGUGCUGUUAUUCUAUCGCAAAGUUGCCAAGGUCACAUGGAGACAAGUGUGCAAAGUUUGACAGGAAGGGAGUUCCCUGCAUGGAAAUUCAACAGGGACUUAGAUUUUGAUUUGGUUAAUUUUGAAAGGUUGUUGUUGUAAUUUUUUGUUUUCUUCCUCUUAUUGUAUAAAAAAUUGGUUUCGUUGUCGCCUUCCUAGGCCAUGACAGGCUUUAAUGGCCACUAGCAUGGAAGAUCAAGAAUUUGAAUUUCAAGUAAAAUGCAACAACAUUUGAAACAGAUCUAGUUGGUGGUGCAUUGAAUGGUAAAUUGAAUCCACCAAAAGCUCGGCUCCUACAAUGAGUUAACAUUGCCAUUGUGUGGGAGGGAAUAAACUUUGUUGUUCCAUAUUGCUGCAACAUUCUGCCAAUAGGUGACUUGGGUUUAUCAUCUGGUAGCAGAUUCUUGAUGGCUGAAGGUUCAAGUGGCUUAAUUGCAUCUAGCACAAACGUGCAAUCGAUGCGUCCUCUGUCAGGCCUUUGAUGAGAUUAGCAGCUUCAUGUUUUAACAUUGAAUGAAUGUCGCCGGCAUCCUUUCCCCCCAGAAUCUGGCGUCAAGGAAUCAUGCGUUCCUGUUAAUUUUGAAGGGUAGAUCAACAACAACUCUUGGCCACACAGUUCAGCUGAGUCUGACGAAUCUCUGCAUUUCAAGUACUACGUGAGUAUGUGAUCGUAGCUGCUACAGAAGAAUGUGUAACCUAUGGCCUAUAUGCAAUGCCCAAGAACAAGAGAAAGAGCAAGAGAGGAAACAGACAAUCUUGGUUGCUUACCGUUUGUCUGUCAUGAAGGCGAAGCCUUUUCUUCGGCGUUUUAUUGAAGAACAGAAGAGCAAGAAGAAAAAAAGAGAAGGAAAUUGUAAUGUUGCCUACUCUUGUCUCUAUAUG